GGUGGCUCAGUGGUAGAGUGCUUGCCUUGCAUGCAUGAAGCCCUGGGUUCAUUCCUCAGCACCA
rnacentral:tRNA from 1 species